rnacentral:lncRNA from 1 species
GAUCCUUCUUUUGUUGGACCGGUGCGUCACAUCCGGCAACGAUCGAAGUCUGGUAGUAUCUUUGGGCUAUUCCGCAACCCUUAGUGUCACCCCUCGAUCCAUCAGUUCUCAAUCCUCUCGGAUCUGAGUUCAUAUCAACCUUACCGAAAGAGUGAUCCUUAUUUUGGGCGUAUCAAGUGGUAUCAGAGCCACUCUUCCGGUAACUCUAUUAUCAUUCCAUCUUCUCAUCUCUCCAUCUUCUUCAAACACUUCUUCUUCUACCUUUCUUGAAUCCGGGACCCUCA